GACGAACGCUGGCGGCGUGCCUAAUACAUGCAAGUAGAACGCUGAAGGAGGAGCUUGCUUCUCUGGAUGAGUUGCGAACGGGUGAGUAACGCGUAGGUAACCUGCCUGGUAGCGGGGGAUAACUAUUGGAAACGAUAGCUAAUACCGCAUAACAGUAGAUGUUGCAUGACAUUUGCUUAAAAGGUGCAAUUGCAUCACUACCAGAUGGACCUGCGUUGUAUUAGCUAGUUGGUGGGGUAACGGCUCACCAAGGCGACGAUACAUAGCCGACCUGAGAGGGUGGUCGGCCACACUGGGACUGAGACACGGCCCAGACUCCUACGGGAGGCAGCAGUAGGGAAUCUUCGGCAAUGGACGGAAGUCUGACCGAGCAACGCCGCGUGAGUGAAGAAGGUUUUCGGAUCGUAAAGCUCUGUUGUAAGAGAAGAACGAGUGUGAGAGUGGAAAGUUCACACUGUGACGGUAUCUACCA
rnacentral:rRNA from 1 species